UGACAUGUUUGCUUCCGGUGCUUACCGUC
rnacentral:sRNA from 1 species